UACGUAGGGUGCGAGCGUUAAUCGGAAUUACUGGGCGUAAAGCGUGCGCAGGCGGUUUUGCAAGCCGGAUGUGAAAUCCCCGGGCUCAACCUGGGAAUGGCAUUCGGGACUGCAAGGCUGGAGUGCGGCAGAGGAGACUGGAAUUCCUGGUGUAGCAGUGAAAUGCGUAGAUAUCAGGAGGAAUACCGAUGGCGAAGGCAGGUCUCUGGGCUGACACCGACGCUCAUGCACGAAAGCGUGGGGAGCAAACAGG
rnacentral:rRNA from 1 species